CCUACGGGAGGCAGCAGUGGGGAAUAUUGCACAAUGGGGGAAACCCUGAUGCAGCGACGCCGCGUGAAGGAAGAAGUAUUUCGGUAUGUAAACUUCUAUCAGCAGGGAAGAAAAUGACGGUACCUGACUAAGAAGCCACGGAUAACUACGGGCCAGCAGCCGCGGUAAUACGUAGGGGGCAAGCGUUAUCCGGAUUUACUGGGUGUAAAGGGAGCGUAGGCGGUUUAGCAAGUCAGAAGUGAAAGCUCGGGGCUCAACUCCGGGACUGCUUUUGAAACUGUUGAACUUGAGUGCAGGCGAGGUAAGUGGAAUUCCUGGUGUAGCGGUGAAAUGCGUAGAUAUUAGGAGGAACCCCAGUUGCGAAGGCGGCUUACUGGACUGUAAAUGACGCUGAGGCUCGAAAGCGUGGGGAGCAAACAGGAUUAGAUACCCUGGUAGUC
rnacentral:rRNA from 1 species